AGCGAACGCUGGCGGCAGGCCUAACACAUGCAAGUCGAACGAACCUUUCGGGGUUAGUGGCGGACGGGUGAGUAACACGUGGGAACGUGCCUUUAGGUUCGGAAUAACUCAGGGAAACUUGUGCUAAUACCGAAUGUGCUCUUCGGGGGAAAGAUUUAUCGCCUUUAGAGCGGCCCGCGUCUGAUUAGCUAGUUGGUUGAGGUAAUGGCUCACCAAGGCGACGAUCAGUAGCUGGUCUGAGAGGAUGAUCAGCCACAUUGGGACUGAGACACGGCCCAAACUCCUACGGGAGGCAGCAGAGGGGAAUCUUGCGCAAUGGGCGAAAGCCUGACGCAGCCAUGCCGCGUGAAUGAUGAAGGUCGUAGGAUUGUAAAAUUCUUUCACCGGAGACGAUAAUGACGGUACCCGGAGAAGAAGCCCCGGCUAACUUCGUG
rnacentral:rRNA from 1 species